UGAGCAGGAUCAUCGCCUAAC
rnacentral:piRNA from 1 species